GGAUCAAUUUGCUGGUCGUGCCUUUGGUACGUACUGGUAUUGUUGGUUUCUCCCUUCUGACGAACCAUGAUGUCAUUAAUUUAGUGUUUUGGGGAAUUUGGACUGUUACUUUGAAAAAAUUAGAGUGUUUAAAGCAAGCUAACGCUUGAAUACAUUAGCAUGGAAUAAUGAAAUAGGACGUUCGAUCCUAUUUUGUUGGUUUCUAGGAUUGACGUA
rnacentral:rRNA from 1 species